UACAGAGGUCUCGAGCGUUGUUCGGAUUCAUUGGGCGUAAAGGGUGCGUAGGUGGCGCUGUAAGUCGGGUGUGAAAUCCUGAGGCUUAACCUCGGAACUGCAUUCGAUACUGCGGCGCUUGAGGACUGGAGAGGAGACUGGAAUUCAUGGUGUAGCAGUGAAAUGCGUAGAGAUCCGGAAGAACACCGGUGGCGAAGGCGGCCUGCUGGGCAGUGGCUGACACUGAGGCGCGACAGCAUGGGGAGCAAACAGG
rnacentral:rRNA from 1 species